GGUGAACGCUGGCGGCGUGCCUAAUACAUGCAAGUCGAGCGAACAGAUGAGGAGCUUGCUCCUCUGACGUUAGCGGCGGACGGGUGAGUAACACGUGGAUAACCUACCUAUAAGACUGGGAUAACUUCGGGAAACCGGAGCUAAUACCGGAUAAUAUAUUGAACCGCAUGGUUCAAUAGUGAAAGACGGUUUUGCUGUCACUUAUAGAUGGAUCCGCGCCGCAUUAGCUAGUUGGUAAGGUAACGGCUUACCAAGGCAACGAUGCGUAGCCGACCUGAGAGGGUGAUCGGCCACACUGGAACUGAGACACGGUCCAGACUCCUACGGGAGGCAGCAGUAGGGAAUCUUCCGCAAUGGGCGAAAGCCUGACGGAGCAACGCCGCGUGAGUGAUGAAGGUCCUCGGAUCGUAAAACUCUGUUAUUAGGGAAGAACAAAUGUGUAAGUAACUAUGCACGUCUUGACGGUACCUAAUCAGAAAGCCACGGCUAACUACGUG
rnacentral:rRNA from 1 species